ensembl:lncRNA
AGAAUAGAAAUCCAUUCCCACCCACAUUUCAGCCACACUGACGCAAAACCACAGGCAAAUGGUUUUGGUAUUGUGAUGUUCAGCCUUUUUCACAUCCUGGAUGUGGUUUAACAUCCCAAAGUUGGCUGUAGUAGGAAGCGUACGUUGAGCCAGAUUUUUCCUCAGAAUGUGCAACUCUCCUCGUGACUUAUCUCCCCACAUUUCAGUUCAUCUAACUUAUGAAUACAACAAGCACUGCACUAAUUUGGACAUUGUACCAUCAUACAGUGUUCACAAAUGAUUAUAGAGCAAUUCUGUUUUCAGCAUUGAUGGAACGGAUAAGCAGUCAGAAAGAAUAAAGUAGAGUCCUGCUGGUGUGAGCUGAAGAUCACUGAAGUCAAUAUUCUCACAUAACGGUUAAAUGCUAAGUAAGGUAGGAGUGUGUACAAUCUGGAGCUUUUUUUUUUUAGCUUUACUCUCCUUCUGGGUGAAAUAGCACCAUAGAUUAGAAGGGCAAAUUACAGGAUGGAUGCCCUUCAUGGCUUAUUUCUCUGACAACAAGCUUUACUAUAUGUGGCCUCCUCCAACUCAGUGAGAAGUUUUCUAAUGUUUGUCUGCCUAUUAUUGCUAUUUACUAGUUGUAAUUGUCAUCUGAAAUGAUGAGUAUUUACUGUUCUCAGUUAUUUGCUGCUUCACUGAAAACAGAACAGUCAUUGGAGUCAUUAAGGGCUUCUUCAUCAAUCCAUUAAAUAAUAAAAAGAAUCAGAGCCCGAAUAUAAAAGAUGAGAUUUUGCUGACCUGAUUGUCAGCUGGAAAUGCGAGCAAAUCGUACCCACUGGACAUCAUAGUCAUGCUAACAAAAGGUUUUUAGGCACAUGCAAAAAUGUAGAUAGCCAAAUGUUCUUAUGUUGUGUCUCUGGAGGAAUAUUGCAGCUGGGCUUGGACAAGAGUCUUCUACUGAUUUAUACUGCAUGUCCUUUAUGGAUGGUUGCUCGCAUACGUACAGUGUCAAUAAUUUUAGUGUAGACAAUCCCAUUCAGUAUUUUCUCCCUGUUAAUGCGUUUCCUUCCAGCUGAAAUACUUCAGCUUCUUGGAUCAAAAUUGUCUUUCAAAUUAAAUAGCUGACUUCAUUCCCCCCCCCCCCCCCCCAAACAUUUCUAAUGGUGCGGAAUGGGCACGGUGGGAAGAGGCUAUAGAGGGAAGAAGAAGUUAGGCAGGGAGCGUCAGUGGGUGACCUCCUUGGAUGGCAGCUUCACCACAAGGAGCUCCAGGACAGCCUUUUCUUUGUCUCUACAGAGCAGAAGCAAAGCAACAAACUCCCUCUUUUUUUUUUUUUUUUUCUUUUUUCUUUCUUUUCCUGAGGACGAAUCACUUCCAAGUACAUCUGGUUGAGCAUGAAGAAUGAGAAUAUGAAUACAGGCAAUUAUGAUGGAGUAGAGGCCUUGUAAAUUUAUACUCAAGCUUACCCCCUGGUAACUCAUUCAUCUGCGUGUCUUGACAGGAUGCAUGUGAAAUAGUGGGACAAUAAAAGCUGUUGUAAUGCUGAAAGAUGCUAAUAGCUGGCCUCAGGGUGAGCUGGGUUUUCAAGACAAUCACAGAUAAUACAGAUAACACAGUGGAAGCAUUAGACUCAAGAGAAUGAGCUCUCAAGCCUUUAUUCUGUAAAAUAGAGAGACAUAGGCUAUCUCAAAGGAGGGAUGUCCUAGAGGUGUAGAUUUUACAGGAUCUUAUUUUUAUGGAGCAGUACUUUGCAAAACUAUGGGCUAUCUGAAUCUGCUUGCACUUAUGGAAAUGCACAGCAAACAAAGCCAUAGACAAUUGUUCCUUAACAGGAGUAGGUCUGAAGGUGUUGGAAUUGACCCCUUUGACAGGGUGGCACCCAGCCUGUCUGCCACCCAGCCUGUCUGCCACAUUGAGAACAAAAAGAAAAGCUUAACAAGGAAAUAUGCUCUGUAACUACUUUGGCAGCCUUUGAAUAGUUAGAGAUAUUUCAGAAAAAAAAAAAAUCCUCUAAAAAUUCAGUAUUUUGGAAAUACAGAUCUGUCCCAAGGAACUGCUCAACAAUGAAACUCCUUUUCUGUCUUCCUUCCAUCUCUUCUCUAUAUCUCACAGGGAAGACAGUGUUGUAAUCAGAGGACUAACUGGGAGUAAAUGUUUAUAAGGCUGUGGAUGUUUUUGGAUAUGCCCAUAAUCUGAGUUUUGAUCAGCUUGGUUCUGUGUGAAUGUGGACUCCUUUCCAAGGUGAUGCUUUUGUGAGAAAGCUUAGGAACAGACAACUAGAAUGAAUUCACUCCCAGGUGCUGAGGCAAAUCCGCAAAAAUGUUUUGGAUUUUGAGGGUAUUUCAUUUAAUCUAAACGUGCAGCAGUGUUGAAAGAAGGUUUGUUUCCCAUCCCUCUGUAUGCUGCAAGCUAAAAAAGCCCUUUCCAGACCUUACACCACAGCUGUAACGCAUAAUGACCUCAACAGUUCUCUGCCUGAGGAAGAACAAAAGGACAUCCUAAGGGAAAACGCGCAGAUGAUCCUACGAAGUACUUGCACUGCAAUUUAGACACAGGACUAGAGGCAGAAUGCUGGGUGAGCAAGCAAGAAUCCUGGACUUCCUAAGGGAAAAAUGAAGUGCCAGUCCCGAAUGCUGCACAAGUGACCAUGGAUGUAGAAUGGUGCACGUUUUGUUCUGGGCAUCCUUAUUGAAUAGUGACAUCAUCAGAGGUGCUCGAUUGAUCCGUGAUUUGAGGAGAAACUGCUUGGACUUGAUCCUCCCUUUGUCCUUCCACAGAGAAACAAAUGCUGCGGUGUUCAGCUCUUUCACUGGCAGCUGUCAUACUGAAGAGAACUCACAUGUUAGGAAGAGGUGUUCAGGAAGAAUGGUAUUUUCAUCCAGUUGUGCCCAGAGCAGAAGUUCAUUACUGCAUCGUGGCCAGGACUCAGCCUGCAGCAGUGGGAGCAGGGGCAGCUGGCUAUGAUGGGAGAGAGCGAGACAGUGCUAGGAAGGCUGAGCAAAUAUUGACUUAGACUCUGAAAUGCAUGGGGCAAAUCAGCCAAGAUGUCUGAAGUUGGGUCCUGCUUCCACCAUGUUCGACCAUUGGAUUGGCCUGGUAACAAACCAGGACUUCAUCUACUGUGGUGUGUUGGUAAAGGUAAGCGGUCCAGUCCUAUGUGUGAAGGUACAAAAUGUUAACAGGUAAAUGAAGUGGUAAUGGACCAUCAGUUGCAAAGCACUCAAAAAGCAAGGUGAAGGCAUGUUUCACUGUCUUUAGUAAAUAGCAGUGAUGUUGCAACAAAGGAUAAGGGGGAAAAAGCCAAACGAAACAGAGAAAUGGGAUGUGAGGUUUGCCUUGGCCCAAGCUCACUGGUGUGUAACUUGCCCAUAUAGAUCUUGUUGAACACAGGGUACCCUACUCUCCUAACACAGUGUCCAGUAUGCAGCAAGAGGGCACACCAAAGGGAUGACUCAUAGAUAUCUGAUAUGGAAAUGGAUGCUGUCAAGGCACCAAUCAUGUCUCUGUUCCUACCCAUUGCUUGCUUGACUUCUGACUGUGUCAUAACACGGCUGCAAAGUCUCAGGCUGCUUAGGGUUGCAUCUUCCAAGUAAUCAUUCCAGUCUGGAUUUAUCACCAAAUUAUGGAGAGCCAACAUUACGGUGUUAUUGCAGUGACCCACUCUGUCUCUCUCUCUCUCUAUUUUUUUUUCCCAUCAACUCCAAUUCCUCUUAAGGGCAUUUUAGACUUUAGAAAGUCAUUUGCUGUUCUUUGAGGUGUGAAGGAUGGACAGGCUGAGACUGCCUUUCUCUUACUGAGAAGAUGUGGCAUGUACAAGGCCAUGCAGAUGGCAAUACUGAUGGGAAUAGGAGGCAGGAGAUCAGAAAGUGCCUUGACCCCUGUGAUUCUCCAGGCAUUUGGAAUGCAUAAUUGCAGCUUGUUUAACACCAAAGGAUAACUGAUCAUUCUGAGAGGAGGAAGACACUGGUGGGGAUCGAUAUUCCUAUGGCUGUGCUAGAAAAAUAGCGAAAAAGAAUGGCUCUUUAUCUCUCACAGCAAAGCAGGAGGAAUAAAUGCCUACGACUUCUUGUGAUUGUUCUUUUCAAAGCCCACAGAGGGUUUGUUCAGUGCUGGCUGUCAUUGCAGUCGUGAGCUGCAGUGAGUGUGUAUGGAUGAUGUGCAUCCUUCCUUCCAGACGUGGGCUGACUGAAGGCAAGGCAGGAGAGCUCUGCUUCUUGUUUCAGAGAGGAAAAGUAAGUCACCAUGAAGGUGAAACAUGGAGAAAUUGGGCUGCAGACAGAUUGGUGGAAUAGCGACCGUGGGAAAUCACAACUGAGCACUCCUAUGUUCAUUUUCUGUGUGGGCCAUGUUGAUCUGCAGCUUUUGUGUAAAACUAUGAGUCACGAAGAGCUGAUUUCAGUUGGUAGA